rnacentral:lncRNA from 1 species
AUGUUGUUCUGUCAUUUUAAAGAAUAUGGUUCUGUUGAGUGUUGGAUGUAUUUUUCCUGCGACAGGAUACAUAUUUCUUUCCUCUGUUUUUCCAGAGACUUAAUAUGGUUCUGGCCAUGUUUUCCUGACUACAAAUCAGGUGCACAGACUGACAAGGAGAGGAACAACAAAAAGUUGCUUCCCUGGAGUCACAAAAGUGAGCCUGGAGGACCUGGAGCAUUAGUUCUCAAAGUGUGUUCCUCGGACCAACAACAGCAGCAUCUCCUGGGAAUUUGCUAGGAAUGCAGUUUCUGGGACUCUGUUCCACAUUUGAAUCAGAAGCUCCAAAGGGAUUUUGGAUAAAAGAGUUUAUUAGCUGAGUUCACUGGCUUGUCUCCGCAAAGCCUGAAACUAUACUUCAAACUCAGCCAAGGCCCUUCCUUUGAGAGUGUGCCAGCUACGGAAGCCAGACAAGCAGGUGCAAACUGUUUGUUCCAGCCAGCCUUCCUGCUCAAGAACAUCCCACCAGGGCCAGCAAGACACUCACGACAGCAGAAAACACUAGCGAGUGCCCAUCCUUGUAGUCCAUACGCAAUUCCACAGUCCAGUUUCCACACACCUAAAAUCCAAAAGGCUCUGAAAAACAAGUUUUUGCUGUGCUUACAAAUCUUUAGCAAUCUCAGUUG